GUAGGUGGCAAGCGUUGUCCGGAAUUAUUGGGCGUAAAGCGCGCGCAGGCGGUCCUUUAAGUCUGAUGUGAAAGCCCACGGCUCAACCGUGGAGGGUCAUUGGAAACUGGGGGACUUGAGUGCAGAAGAGGAGAGUGGAAUUCCACGUGUAGCGGUGAAAUGCGUAGAGAUGUGGAGGAACACCAGUGGCGAAGGCGACUCUCUGGUCUGUAACUGACGCUGAGGCGCGAAGGCGUGGGGGAGCGAACAGGAUUAGAUACCCUGGUAGUCCACGCCGUAAACGAUGAGUGCUAAGUGUUAGAGGGUUUCCGCCCCCUUUAGUGCUGCAGCUAACGCAUUAAGCACUCCGCCUGGGAGUACGGUCGCAAGACUG
rnacentral:rRNA from 1 species